rnacentral:rRNA from 1 species
AUUGAACGCUGGCGGCAGGCCUAACACAUGCAAGUCGAGCGGAUGAGAGGAGCUUGCUUCUCGAUUCAGCGGCGGACGGGUGAGUAAUGCCUAGGAAUCCGCCUGGUAGUGGGGGACAACGUUUCGAAAGGAACGCUAGUACCGCAUACGUCCUACGGGAGAAAGCAGGGGACCUUCGGGACUUGCGCUAUCAGAUGAGCCUAGGUCGGAGUAGCUAGUUGGUGGGGUAAUGGCUCACCAAGGCGACGAUCCGUAACUGGUCUGAGAGGAUGAUCAGUCACACUGGAACUGAGACACGGUCCAGACCCCUACGGGAGGCAGCAGUGGGGAAUAUUGGACAAUGGGCGAAAGCCUGAUCCAGCCAUGCCGCGUGUGUGAAGAAGGUCUUCGGAUUGUAAAGCACUUUAAGUUGGGAGGAAGGGUUGUAGAUUAAUACUUUGCAAUUUUGACGUUACCGACAGAAUAAGCACCGGCUAACUCUGUGCCAGCCGCCGCCGUAAAAC